rnacentral:rRNA from 1 species
GAAGGCGGGCUGGAAUCUCUCGGGGUUACAGCCUUGCUGAAUUAUUCACCCUUGUCUUUUGCGUACUUCUUGUUUCCUUGGUGGGUUCGCCCACCACUAGGACAAACAUAAACCUUUUGUAAUUGCAAUCAGCGUCAGUAACAAAUUAAUAAUUACAACUUUCAACAACGGAUCUCUUGGUUCUGGCAUCGAUGAAGAACGCAGCGAAAUGCGAUAAGUAGUGUGAAUUGCAGAAUUCAGUGAAUCAUCGAAUCUUUGAACGCACAUUGCGCCCUUUGGUAUUCCAAAGGGCAUGCCUGUUCGAGCGUCAUUUGUACCCUCAAGCUUUGCUUGGUGUUGGGCGUCUUGUCUCUAGCUUUGCUGGAGACUCGCCUUAAAGUAAUUGGCAGCCGGCCUACUGGUUUCGGAGCGCAACACAAUUCGCACUCUCUAUCAGCAAAGGUCUAGUAUCCAUUAAGCCUUUUUUCCCCUUUUGACCUCGGAUCAGGUAGGGAUACCCCGCUGAAACUUAAUCAUAUAAAUACGCAGGAGGAACCC